rnacentral:lncRNA from 1 species
GCGCCCGACCCGCCUCUGCACCCCCGACUCCCCGUUCGACGCCGGCCUCUGCCCUGCAGCACCCGACGCCCGCCGCCCUCACACGCCAGCCGCCCCCUGUCUCCGAGAGGCCUCCCCGUCUGGCCCCUGCCCCGUCUGGCCCCUGCUCCGCCGUCAGGACUCAGGAGCCCGUCCCGUCCAGCCAGUUCACCACUUGGUGCGGCACCGCCGAUACGCCUCCGUCGCCGGCAUCUCCACGAUUUUCUUUGUCAUGUCUGUAAAUUCAGUUUGGUUCAGG